CCUACGGGGGGCAGCAGUGAGGAAUAUUGGUCAAUGGACGAGAGUCUGAACCAGCCAAGUAGCGUGAAGGAUGACUGCCCUAUGGGUUGUAAACUUCUUUUAUAUGGGAAUAAAAUGUUCCACGUGUGGGAUUUUGUAUGUACCAUAUGAAUAAGGACCGGCUAACUCCGUGCCAGAAGCCGCGGUAAUACGGAGGAUCCGAGCGUUAUCCGGAUUUAUUGGGUUUAAAGGGGGCGUAGGGGGAUUGUUAAGUGAGUUGUGAAAGAUUGCGGCUCAACCGGAAAAUUGCAGUUGAAACUGGCAGUCUUGAGUACAGUAGAGGUGGGCGGAAUUCGUGGUGUAGCGGUGAAAUGCGUAGAUAUCACGAAGAACUCCGAUUGCGAAGGCAGCUCACUGGACUGCAACUGACGCUGAGGCUCGAAGGUGUGGGUAGCAAACAGGAUUAGAUACCCUAGUAGUC
rnacentral:rRNA from 1 species